CAAAAAGCCAACAGAAGUAUCUCUGUAUAUAUAAGUUGUAUGGAGGAGGAGGGGACUUGAAUUACUCUAAGACUCCUUCCAUUGCAUUCUUAUCCUUAGCUCUCUUAGAAUGAGUAUGGUUAACCAUCCAUGUCCACCAAAUGGUGACAAAGAAAAGAGAGAUAACAUGGAGAAAAGAAAACAGGAGUUGCAAACUAUCAUUGAGAAGGAGGAUGAUCGAGUAAAUCAACUUCAAACAAGCGCCUUCAGCCUUGCAAACUACUACUUCGUCUUUCAAGGAAUUAUUUUGGGGGCUAUCCUCACUGCCACCACAGCGCUCAGAUGCUCAGAUCGCUGGUUCCUUUUCAGCCUCUCUCUGAUAGCAGCCAUACUCAACUUGGUUUCCUUGCUUGUAAUUGGAAGCAAUUAUAAAAGAAGCGUCAUGCAGAGACACCAAACCAAGAGUGAGCUCAUUGAAUUGGAAAGUGAUCUGAGAAAGCUAGAAACUUCACCUUCAGAUCAAAGGCUCAAAACUAAAAUAUUAACCUACUGGGAUACGACAAAGAUUCAACAUCCUCAACAUCCUACGGCCGUAGAAAUUAAGGAUGAACUGGAAGUAAGGCAUAGAAGGAGGGUCAUUCCUGUUGUUACAAAUUAUCUACGUGAGUUCUACUUCGUACUUUGCAUGGGUCUAUUUAUAAUCUUUGCCGUCAUCGUGAUUGUGGGUUGCUGGACCAUUCCUUGCAAGGAAACUCUUCAAUGCACACCCCCGAUAUCGAACGCCAGCGGUGAUAAAUGUAUUAGGGUUUGUGAAGGUGCCAAGUGUAUGAGCAUCUGCGCCCAAUUCUAGGGCUUCAAGUUCAACAGUUAUAGCUUUGAGCUAGGGAUAUCCAAUCCAAGUAGAUUGGAACCACAAUAAAGUUUACCAUAUUUUAAUGCUCGUUAUUUAAUCUAUAAUGGUUUAUAUGAUUUUGUGUUUGCAUACAUUAUUUCAAAAAUAAGACUUUCUGGAUGUUAUUAAAG
rnacentral:lncRNA from 1 species